rnacentral:tRNA from 1 species
GGGCCCGUAGCUUAGUAUGGUUAGAGCGCCCGGCUCAUAACCGGGCGGUCAAGGGUUCAAAUCCCUUCGGGCCCACCA